rnacentral:rRNA from 1 species
AUUGAACGCUGGCGGCAGGCCUAACACAUGCAAGUCGAGCGAGACGGGUAAGGGAUAGUAAUGACUGGGCCUCUGCCUGAUGGAGGGGGUCCGCUACUGGAAACGGAUGCUAAUACCGCAUACCAUAGGCUGUGCCCAGAUGGGAUUAGCUAGUUGGUGGGGUAACGGCCCACCAAGGCGACGAUCCCUACCUGGUCUGAGAGGAUGACCAGCCACACUGGAACUGAGACACGGUCCAGACUCCUACGGGAGGCAGCAGUGGGGAAUAUUGGACAAUGGGCGCAAGCCUGAUUCAGCCAUGCCGCGUGUAUGAAGAAGGCCUUCGGGUUGUAAAGUACUUUCAGUGGGGAGGCGUUACCCGCAGAAGAAGCACCGGCUAACUCCGUGCCAGCAGCCGCGGUAAUAC